rnacentral:rRNA from 1 species
AAACGUAGGAGGCGAGCGUUAUCCGGAUUUACUGGGCGUAAAGCGCGUGCAGGCGGUUCGUCGAGUUGGAUGUGAAAGCUCCUGGCUUAACUGGGAGAGGUCGUUCAAUACUGCCGGACUCGAGAGUGGUAGAGGGAGGUGGAAUUCCGCAUGUAGUGGUGAAAUGCGUAGAUAUGCGGAGGAACACCAGUGGCGAAAGCGGCCUCCUGGCCCAUUUCUGACGCUCAGACGCGAAAGCUAGGGUAGCAAACGGGAUUAGAGACCCCGGUAGUCCUAGCUGUAAACGAUGUGAACUUGGCGUCGGCGGCUUCAAACCCGUCGGUGCCGUAGCCAACGCGAUAAGUUCACCGCCUGGGGACUACGGCCGCAAGGUUAAA